rnacentral:rRNA from 1 species
CCUACGGGGGGCAGCAGUGGGGGAUAUUGCACAAUGGGGGAAACCCUGAUGCAGCGACGCCGCGUGGGUGAAGAAGCGCCUCGGCGCGUAAAGCCCUGUCAGCAGGGAAGAAAAUGACGGUACCUGAAGAAGAAGCCCCGGCUAACUACGUGCCAGCAGCCGCGGUAAUACGUAGGGGGCAAGCGUUAUCCGGAUUUACUGGGUGUAAAGGGAGCGUAGACGGCGGCGCAAGUCCGGAGUGAAAGCCCACGGCCCAACCGUGGGACUGCUCUGGAAACUGUGCGGCUUGAGUGCGGGAGGGGCAG